UUUCAUUGACUUUCUCCAUUGUCUUUCUGUUAUUUCAUUGAUUACCAUUCAGUCUUUAUUAUUAUUUCUGCUUUACUGGUUUUCCUUCUGUUUUUGCCAUUGGUUGUUGAGAGAAGGUACUGAAAUCUCUGCCUGUGGUCUGUCUGUCUUGCGGCUCUGUCCGUCUGCUUCACGCAUUUCGGAGCUCUGUUGUGCGGUGCAGGGACAGCCCGGGGAUCAUCGUGUCCCCCUGAACCGAUGCCCUUAUCAGUCAAAAUGCCUUUCUUGAUGUUCACAAUACUUCCUGCUCUGACAUCGACCUUGUCUGGUAGUUACACACCUGCUGUAGCUUCUGAUGAGUGCUCACAUGGAGCGUGUUUGUGUCUUUAUAUUUAACACGUGUUUCUCGGGGUGCCUGGGGGCACUCUGUCAGUUAAGUAUCCGACUCUAGAUUUCAGCUCAGGUCAUGGUCUCACAGUUCGUGGGACCGGGCCAUUCUCUUCCCCUCUCCCCUCACUCUCUCUCUCUCAAUAAAUAAAUGAAUAUUUAAAAUAAAAUGAAAUAAAAUGUGUUUCUCAUAGGCUGUGUACAGAUAGUGAGGCCUUGUUUCUUAUCCAACCUGACCAUUUCUGUCUUUUAUUUUGGGUAUUGGACCAUUUACAUGUGAUGUGAUUAUUGAUCUUGGGGUUACGUUUGUCAUCUUACUCUUUGUCCUAUCCGUCCUUUGUUCCUUUUCCUCCUCCUCUGCCUCUGCCUGUGCUGUCUCCAUCUUUCUCUCUGUCUCUCUCUGCAUCUUUCUCUCUCUUCCUCUGUCUCUCUGUCUCUCUGUCCUUUUCUGGUUACUGGGAUACUCUUAUCCCCUCUCUCCCCUUUGUCAGCUUGCCUUCUGUAACGUAUGGAGGAGGUUGUCUCUGUGUGAGGAGGGUCAGGUGAUAGAACCCGUCUCAUGGCGUAUAAGCACCUUACGAUAGCGCAUCUCCAUUUUUCUCGUGAUCUUUGGGCUUUUGUUGUUCUGUCUUGCUUUCGUGUAUUUUGUAAGCCUGAGAUGUACUGUUUUCGCUCAUAUGGAGACUCCCAGGUGUGAGACGUAAUCUUAGCUGUUUGCCCAUGGCUUUAUGGUUCAUGGGCACCGCUUGUUUCUUUGUGUAGAUCCACGUUCUGUCUGGUGUCGCCAUCCUCUCACGAUUUCCUGUAGUGUUUAUUGUAAUGCAGGUCUGCUGGUGAGGAGUUUGUCUCCUCAGGUUUGUCCAGAGAUGCCCGUAUUUCAUGUUCGUUUUGGAAGGAUACUUGCCCUGUGUGUGAAAGUCUAGGUGGAUGGUUUUUUUUCAGGAGUGGAGAGAUUUUGUCCCAUCCUGUUCUCACCUGUGCUGUUUCUGAUGAGGAACCUGUCACGUUUGUCUUUGUUCCUCCAGCUGCCUUUAGGAUUUUCUCUUUAUCGUACUUUUGAGCAAUUUAUGACAAUGGGACCCGUGUGGUUUUCUUUAUGUUUCUUGUGCUUAUAGUUUGUUGAGUUCUUAGAUCUGUGGCUUUGUAGCUUUUAUCACAUUUUCAACUAUUAUUUCUUCCUGUGUUUUCAGUUCCUGCCUGCUCCCGUCCUCAGGACCUGCUGGGCACGGCUGCUGCCCCAUGGGCGACCUGCCUGCACCCCAUGUGUCUGACCCACUGCAAGCGCCCGCCAGUGUGUGUCUCACAGCACGGGUCUCUAGUCCGAUUCGGAUCAUGCUUUACAUCUUCUGUGUAUCUGCUUAACUUUGUAACCACAUGGAAUGUGGUCACGAUGACCGGUCUAACAUCUCUGCUAGUCCUAACGUCUGGGGCGUUUUCAGCUGACUGAUUUCCUCCUCACGAUGAGUCUGUUUUCCUGCUGUGCACUCCUGAUCAUUUUUGCUUGGAUGCUGGGUGUUUUAAAUUUUACCUUCUUGGGAGAUGGGUAUCUUUAAGUUCCUGGACACAUCCUUGAGCUUUGCUUGAGACAAUUAUCUGGAAACAGUUCCUUCCAGGCCUGACUGAGGCAGGGCCUCCCCCCACCUCCGCUGUGCCCCAUGGGUCAUGAGGUUUCCGUCUGCUCCUGGCUCUCUGUGAGCACUGACUGCUGCCCCUGUGCCCUCCAGGGUGGUCCUUCCUGGCCUCUGGCUUUGGGGAACUUCCUUUAUCAUGUGUGCAGAUCCCUCCUCUGCUAAAUACAGAGGAUGGCAGGCUUCCAGAAUUCUCUCUCUGGGCAGCUCUGCCCUUUCUGGUUCUGUCGUGUGACUUUUACUGGGCCCACACUCCAGCCACCCUCGGGGCUCCCUGGGGCCUCCGGGCACCAGGCUGGGUGUUUGUUGGUUUACAUCCUUUGUAGCUUGAUGUCUGGUGCCUUGAAAACCAUUGUUUUAUAUGUUUCUGGUUGUUUCAGGUGGAUCGUAAGUUCAGUUCUCGUUACUCCAUUUUGCAUGGAAGUAGGAUUUCAAAUUGAUUAUUUUGUUUCAUUUCCGCGGGAGUCUGUGUGGGCCUCCGCGGUCCCCCAGUGUUUUUGGAGAACAGGCAGCCGUGUCCUGCAGGGCGGCCCUUGUGUGUGUGUAGUGGGGUGCCCAGGACAGAGGGGCCGCAAGUUUGAUUUGGGACCUGCCUUCCUCAGGAUGCGAUGUCCUCCAAGGUGGGCACUCCGAUACCCAGGUGGGGUCUCCCCUCGGCCGAGCCCCGCCCUGCUCUGUGGACCCGGAGGCAAAUCCCACCGUCGCUCCGGCCGUCGUAGGUUCCGGGACGAGUGGCUGGCAGAGGUGUUGGUUGGGUCUCCCGGCUCCUGUGGCGGACGUGCUUGUCUGUGGAUGAGGCUUGUCUCUUUUAACCCUUCAGGGUCAGACACACCCGGCCCUGUGCUGGCCUUUCUCAUCAGGCCCCGAGCCAGCGUCACGGACCGGGCGUCCACAAGAGCUACUGGACAGUUCUCGGCAGAGGCGGGCGCCGAGUGGGUUUGUGCUGGUCUGUGGGCUACAGAGAACACCAGUCAGACCUGCUCAUUCUCUCCUGGAGAGAGUGCUGGCAAUCCUGGCGAUCCUGCCUUGGGCGGCUGCCCAGAGGCUUGGAGCACCUGUCAGGGUACUGCCGUGCUGACCUAGGGCUCCAGGCUACGGGCUGCUCGGGAACGGGGUGGAUGAUGCAGUCGUCCCGCCAUUGCAGCCACGGGCAUCAGCAGGGAAGCGGUCCUCAGGACAGCUGGCUGUGGCCACGUGGGAGGACAGACGUCGGCAGCUCUGCAGUGGGCACUUAUGGCCACAUGCACGAGGGGUCCCUGGUGGAGCUAGGCGUGACCCAGCAUGUCCCCUCCUGGCUCCCACUCCCCGACUGUUGGUCUGUGUGUAGGUACGUGCGGCACUAUGGCCUGGGCGGCGCCUGUGACGACAUCGCCAGCGUGCUGAAGCAGGUGGCUGUGAGACUGGGGAAGACGCAGAAGGUGACGUGAACGUCAUCCAGCCCAACUACCCUGCGGCAGCCCGAGACUUCCUCCAGAC